UACGUAGGGUGCAAGCGUUGUCCGGAAUUAUUGGGCGUAAAGAGCUCGUCGGCGGUUUGUUGCGUCGGCUGUGAAAUCCCGAGGCUCAACCUCGGGUCUGCAGUCGAUACGAGCAAACUAGAGUGUUGCAGGGGAGACUGGAAUUCCUGGUGUAGCGGUGAAAUGCGCAGAUAUCAGGAGGAACACCGGUGGCGAAGGCGGGUCUCUGGGCAACAACUGACGCUGAGGAGCGAAAGCGUGGGGAGCGAACAGG
rnacentral:rRNA from 1 species